GCUCGCUUGGUGAAAUUUGGUAAACACGAUGGAUUUAAAAUUCAUUCUUAAAUUAAGUUACUGGUUCAAAUCCAGUAGUGAGUA
rnacentral:tRNA from 1 species